rnacentral:hammerhead_ribozyme from 1 species
AUCCAGUUGACGAGUUUCAAAUAAAACGAAACGCGUGUUCUAGAU